CGCGUUUUCCCCCUGUUAGGCAAGUUGCUACUUCUUCUACAUGAAGACCUUUGCUUCAUUUUGCUCCGAGUAGAAAACAAGAGUUUCUGCCUGACUGGUUGCACUGCACUCCUCCCUUUCCCUCCUUUGCCAAGAUGUGUCUGUAGGCAUGCUCCCCAAGUUAUUUUAAAGACAGGCUGGCACUAAGGCACUCACAGUCAAAGGAGAGGAAAAAGAUGAAGACAGAUAUUUUCUCUUUGCUGGCAGGGGACAGCAAGCCACUGGAAAAGUGUCCCUUUGGAGGAUAAGAGAGACUCUUCCUCUUUGGCUGGCAGAGUAACACACACAGCUCCCAGCUCUCCAAAGGGAAAACAACUGCCUGUAGGUGCAAUACUCUGUUCAUGGGGGAAACAGAGAAGCUUUGCCUUGAAUCUUGCAGGACAAUUUGUUGCCUGAAAGGAUCCACCGAGAUGCAACAAGCUCUGUUUAGAAACGAACAUAUCCAGCCUGGAGCAUGGGGAGAGAGUAAAGCAUCUGUUUGACUUCCUCAACGGGUUUGCUGUGUGUAAAUCAUUUAUCCCUGCUCCUGCUCCCCUUCCUUGACUCUCACAAUUUGUAUUUUUGUGUUAAAAAAAGUGAUGCUUGCCUUUCUGUUGGCGAGCAGCUUGGGACACAUUGCCUGGAGUCUGACCUCAAAGUAGGGUGGGAUUUGAAUCUGAAAUCCACUCGGUUUGAUCUCACAGGAACUGCUGCGUUGC